GCAGGUAGCAGAUUCAUUCUGGUAUUCUGCCCUGGGCUAUGGGCUUGUCAGAUAUUGCAAGCAAAACAGAAUUGAGUCUAUUUAUUACUUGGAUGGGAGACCUCCACGGAAAAUCCACUACGUGCU
rnacentral:rRNA from 1 species